rnacentral:rRNA from 1 species
GGUUAAGUGACUAAGCGUAUACGGUGGAUGCCUUGGCAGUCAGAGGCGAUGAAGGACGUGUUAAUCUGCGAUAAGCCAUGUUAAGUCGAUAAAAGACGUUAUAGACAUGGAUUUCCGAAUGGGGAAACCCACUGCAUUUUAUGCAGUAUCGCAACGUGAAUACAUAGCGUUGCGAGGCGAACCCGGGGAACUGAAACAUCUAAGUACCCGGAGGAAAAGAAAUCAACCGAGAUUCUGGUAGUAGCGGCGAGCGAACCCGGAUUAGCCCUUAAGCUUUUAUGUGAUUAGUGGAAUGUUCUGGAAAGGACAGCGAUACAGGGUGAUAGCCCCGUACAUGAAAAUCUACUUUAAGUGAAAUCGAGUAGGACGGCACACGUGAUAUGUUGUCUGAAUAUGGGGGGACCAUCCUCCAAGGCUAAAUACUCCUGACUGACCGAUAGUGAACCAGUACCGUGAGGGAAAGGCGAAAAGAACCCCUGUGAGGGGAGUGAAAUAGAACCUGAAACCGUAUACGUACAAGCAGUGGGAGCCCCCUUGUGGGGUGACUGCGUACCUUUUGUAUAAUGGGUCAACGACUUAAUUUCAGUAGCAAGGUUAAGCGAAUAGCGGAGCCGUAGGGAAACCGAGUGUUAACUGCGCGCAUAGUUGCUGGGAUUAGACCCGAAACCCGGUGAUCUAGCCAUGGGCAGGUUGAAGAUUGGGUAACACCAAUUGGAGGACCGAACCGACUAAUGUUGAAAAAUUAGCGGAUGACUUGUGGCUGGGGGUGAAAGGCCAAUCAAACCGGGAGAUAGCUGGUUCUCCUCGAAAGCUAUUUAGGUAGCGCCUCGGACGAAUACUAGUGGGGGUAGAGCACUGUUAAGGCUAGGGGGUCAUCCCGACUUACCAACCCUUUGCAAACUCCGAAUACCACUAAGUAAUAUCCGGGAGACACACGGCGGGUGCUAACGUCCGUCGUGGAAAGGGAAACAACCCAGACCGUCAGCUAAGGUCCCAAAGUCAUAGCUAAGUGGGAAACGAUGUGGGAAGGCUUAGACAGCCAGGAUGUUGGCUUAGAAGCAGCCAUCAUUUAAAGAAAGCGUAAUAGCUCACUGGUCGAGUCGGCCUGCGCGGAAGAUGUAACGGGGCUAAGCUAUGCACCGAAGCUACGGAUGCUAAUUUAUUAGCAUGGUAGAGGAGCGUUCUGUAAGCCGUUGAAGGUGAGUCGUAAGGCUCGCUGGAGGUAUCAGAAGUGCGAAUGUUGACAUGAGUAACGAUAAAGGGGGUGAAAAGCCCCCUCGCCGAAAGACCAAGGUUUCCUGUUCAAUGUUAAUCAGAGCAGGGUGAGUCGGCCCCUAAGGCGAGACUGAAAAGUGUAGUCGAUGGGAAACAGGUUAAUAUUCCUGUACUUCGUAUAAUUGCGAUGGGAGGACGGAGAAGGCUAGGCCAGCAUGGUGAUGGUUAUCCAUGUUUAAGGUUGUAGGCUGGACACUUAGGAAAAUCCGGGUGUCUAAGGCUGAGAAUUGAUGACGAGUGUCUACGGACAUGAAGUGGUUGAUGCCCUGCUUCCAGGAAAAGUCUCUAAGCUUCAGAUUAUACGAAACCGUACCCCAAACCGACACAGGUGGUUGGGUAGAGAAUACCAAGGCGCUUGAGAGAACUCGGGUGAAGGAACUAGGCAAAAUGGUACCGUAACUUCGGGAGAAGGUACGCUCUUGAUGGUGAUGGGAUUUACUCCCUAAGCUGCUGAGAGUCGCAGAUACCAGUUGGCUGCAACUGUUUAUUAAAAACACAGCACUGUGCUAAAUCGAAAGAUGACGUAUACGGUGUGACGCCUGCCCGGUGCCGGAAGGUUAAUUGAUGUGGUUAGUCCUCGGACGAAGCUAUUGAUCGAAGCCCCGGUAAACGGCGGCCGUAACUAUAACGGUCCUAAGG